rnacentral:lncRNA from 1 species
AAAACACCAUCCCAAGCACCCUGCUGAAAUGGCCACUUUGGGAGCUCUAGGGACUUCAAAGAAACCUUGAUCCAUCAGAAUGGUGCGUGCAGUCUGCAGUCUAGAAGAUCCUGGAUGUUCUCAUAUCACCUCAUGCUGUAGGAAGAGUGGCCACGAGUGUCUGCUUUGGAGAAGGCCUUGGAUAAGUGGCGAAGAAAGGCCUGAAAAAUCCAAAGGGCAAGAGAUGUAGAGGGCAGGAGUCUACAAUGCUAUGGCAGAAGUUAAAGAGGAGAAAGUAUGCACUCUAGCAGUGGCGAAUACCACCACGGGCAGAGCCUUGAAGGCCUGGCAUUGUGUGCCCACCCGAGCUCAAGGACAAAGGCUUCACAGGCAGAAGAUGCGGAAUGGAGGGGAAUCAUGAGUAGGGUACCCUGGCAGUUAGAAAAGGCACAGUGGACAGGAGUCGCCAUUGGGGGGUACACUGGGCAGAGUCUCCCUUGAAUCAGUCAUUUUUUUGUAUUUUUUUCCAGGAUAGCAGCUAGGAUGAGGUAGGGACCCAGAAUUCAGUUGGGGAAGAUGAUGAACAUUUACGGCCUUUCUGACUCUGUUUAACAAAGACCAUAUUCUCUUCAUGGGUAACUCUCUAUGGUUAGCCACCCUUGUUAAACAAUUUUCAGGAGUUAGGCUCACAGUGUGGAAGCUAUCUGCAGCGCCCAAGCAAACAUCUGGUCUCGGAUCACCACGCUUAGUUUUAAUAGCAUGUUGUCUCAGUUGGGUGUGGUUUUGUUUUUUA